rnacentral:rRNA from 1 species
AACGAACGCUGGCGGCAUGCCUAACACAUGCAAGUCGAACGAGACCUUCGGGUCUAGUGGCGCACGGGUGCGUAACGCGUGGGAACCUGCCCUUAGGUUCGGAAUAACUCCCCGAAAGGGGUGCUAAUAACGGAUAAUGUCUUCGGACCAAAGAUUUAUCGCCUUUGGAUGGGCCCGCGUUGGAUUAGCUAGUUGGUAGGGUAAAAGCAUACCAAGGCGACGAUCCAUAGCUGGUCUGAGAGGAUGAUCAGCCACACUGGGACUGAGACACGGCCCAGACUCCUACGGGAGGCAGCAGUGGGGAAUAUUGGACAAUGGGCGAAAGCCUGAUCCAGCAAUGCCGCGUGAGUGAUGAAGGCCUUAGGGUUGUAAAGCUCUUUUAACCGGGAUGAUAAUGACAGUACCGGGAGAAUAAGCUCCGGCUAACUCCGUG